CAGCGCCGUCGGUCUCCCGGCGACACCAGCAGCACGGAGCGGCGCCUCGGCCCGACCCGGCGCCCCCUGCCGGGCGGCGGAGCUGUAGAACCAGAUAGGAGGCAGCAGCUCGACUGGGUUGUCCCUGGGAUCACCCCAGUGUUCCAAAGAGGAUCCCCGGCAUCUCAAUUAAUACGGUAAGUGAGAAUAAGUGUCUCGCCCGCUUGCAGCUGUGUCCACAAUCAGUCCCCGCCGGUCCUGUCUGAGUUCUCCGCCCUGUGUAGGGCAUCUCCACGCUUCCACUUCUUAUCCAAGUUACUUGUCAUAACCUCCUGGCACUCGUAGUCCUUGCCUGCUCCCAAUAAUAAAAAGAAAGUAAAAGGGAGAAAAAGGGUUUUCUUUCUUCUCUUGCGUCUGGGCUCCCCACUGCUAAUGACCUCAUUAGCAACUUGUUACGGGCGCUGCCCAGUCUCUUGCUGCACAGUACCAGCGUGCGGAUCUGGGAGUUUACCUGCAGCCCAGUUCCCAGAUCUCGGCCCCAGCUUCCCCCUCCCCUCGAGUUCUGGGUGCUGGGCAGGGUCUCUUCAGGGGUCUGGGCCAGUGACCCCCCGCCCCCUUUGGCUUGCAAGUUGCCUCACCGUGUCCCCAUGCAAAAACCGUGGUUUCUUUCCAUGCGGCGGCUCCGCUCUUCCCUGGACUCACCACCCUUCCCACGGACUCCUGGUAGGUGGUGAGCAUGGGCCUGCUGGUCCCGGGCCCUGGGGUCCCUUGGCUCAUGCUGGUCCUGUGUCAUGGAUCCCUCCUUUUGGAUCCUUCUCCCGGAGAGUCCCCUCGCAGCUCCUCUCUUUUCCUGUGGUGCCUGAAGGCAACUUUCCCUAGGCAUCGUCCUCUUCGUAUCCCUGGGCGUUGAGCCCCGUUGGCUCUCCCCGGGUGUGGGGUGUCUCCUCGCCCCGCCAGGACAUAAUCGCCACUAGCUGCGAGAUUUCUCAAGUAACAGGGCUCCAGUCAGAAACCCUGUUACACACACACACACACACACACACACACACACACACACACACACACAGAGUAACAUGACAUGCCUGCCAGGAAUCAGUUCAUUAAGAUAACAAUAAACUGCAGUCAGACACAAGCACACAAGUAACAGAAUCCCUCUGAAUUAGGCUGGGUGUCCAGCUGACACCCUCAUGGGCCAGCAUUCAGUUCAUUACGGCAUGUCUGAGCCAAACUGGGUCAAUCAGCCUGUACAAGCUGUUCCCCUUAUGUGUUUCAAACUCAGCACAUCCUGAUCUUUUGCCCUAACUGUCCUAGUAGUGGUAGCCUCUUGAUGAGCAGACCCCACAGUACUUCUGGGCUUCACAGGGAUCUUUAGCUUAGGUAAAAGAAGUGUUGCUGCAGAGCAAGUGGGGAAGGAGAAGUAGAGAAGGAAAAAUAUACCCAGUUACUACCAGUUUGACUAUAAAAGUUAUUUAUUGCUAAGUAUAUGAAAUAUAUAAUGGUACUAGUAGUAAUAGACAUGCAAAGGAAAACAAACACAAUUACAAUACUACCCUGAUUUCACUAAGUAUUUGGGGAAACUUAGUUCAAGUUUAACUAACACAAUUCAGGUUCAGAAAUCUAUGCCUAGAGAGAAAAGAGAGAGAGAGUGCAAGAGCUCCAAGGCACUUGGGUUCCAAUGCUGACAGAUAAAGUUCUUAGCACAAUCCUUGAAGGAAAAUGAUCUGUUUCUUCCAGCUUCUCGGGAACAACAGUGGAUGUGUCAGAGAUAUUUUUUUCUUGAAGCACAACUUUGCUGCUUUUAUAACCUCAGUUCAGCUUCUUCAAAGCAUUCUUCUAAUAGUGUAAAUAAUUGUCUUUUCUAUUGACAAGGGGUUUGGAACAGCUCAAGAAACUGAUUAACAACCAGGAAAAACUCCUUAAGUUUUUAAGGAGUAACCAGACACUUAGGAGCCUGUUUGAAAUUCUUAUGGAUAGCAGAUAUACUGGAUGGAUACCUCAUUGUUUCUUCAGAAACAAUAGGUAGCUUGCAGCAUCAGGGUUUUGUAUUUUUACCCGUUGUGAAUUAGCCUCAGCUAAGCAUGGCUUUUCCAGAUCAUACUGUAGUCUUUUAACAGACUUAAGGAGAUUAUUGGAAUAUUCAUAAACUUUGUGGGGAUGACUUCCACCAGUCAUCCCGGGAAAAGUAUGACAGCAUUUGUGGUCAGAGCUCCAAUGGGCUGGAUGCUGUGAUGAACCUUUUACCAUUGUUCAAAUGUUGCCCAUACCCCCUCUGACUUGGUCUCUUUGCCUCAGCUUUCCCUAACCCGGCAACCGAGUUUUAGUCAAUCAAGUUUAAAUAGGCCUCCCACAGUGGGACCGGAAAAUGUACAGUGGGAGAUGCCUAUUAAACUUUACUUCUGCUUAGUUCUGGUUAAAUGAGGUGUGUGUGGGGGGGAAGUCCUUUGUAAAUCCAGAUUAGAAUUGGUUUGAUAAAUGCUGAGCUGGGUGUGUGUAAAUGUUUGUUGAUUAGCAUUUGGAACACAGAUUCCCCAUCAUGCAGUGCUCCCCUGCUUUUCUGAUCCCAGAAUUCAGUGCGGUCCUUGCCUUGGAAUCUCUGUUCUCCAUCCUGAAUGCUAAUGAAGGUGCAUUCCUGUCCCAUCUCCCAUUUAAAUGAGUUGUCAUCUGGUUCCAUCUAGGUUGCAAAUGAGACCAGGGGAAUUGCUCCCUUAUCUGGAGGGCUUUAGGUGUGUCUCCCACUGCAUCUUCAUUGUCUUUUGUAAUCAGUUGUAACUGGCUAGCUGGCAGUGACUUAGCUCAGGGGUUUUGAAAGGGCAAAAGAUGAUUGGAGGACUUGGGAUUCCCUUUCCUCACCAAUCUGGUAAUGAUUUGGCCCAGGGGUUUUGAAGGGGUAAAAGAUGAUUGGUGGACUUGGGAUUCCCUUUCCUCACCAAUCAGGCCCCAGAGACUCACCCUCCAUGUCCCCUGAUUGGCCCCUUGGGUCACCUGGAGGGGGAUAAAAGGGGCAGCGCAGCUGACUCAAGGGAUACCAGUGAGGGACCACAAGGAAGGAGCUUCAAAGAGCUGGCAAGAGCUGAGCCAGCGGGGCGGGAGCAGUUGCCCCAGAAGAGCCUGAAGGAGUGGGACCUGCAGGAAGCAGUUGGACCCUCAGCAGUGCGGCGUGUGGCUGGCAGGAGAGGCUGCCCGUCGGGCUCUAGGAUCCCCUACGAGAGGCUGUGGCCAGCAGGAGAGGCUCCCCUGCUCCAGCAAGGAUCUGAGCAGUGACCUGAGAGGUUCCCAGCUCUGCUUCCAGCUCCUCCAAUCAGAAACCAAGCAGCUCAAUGUGAGGCUGGGGCUCUGGGAAGGUCAAGACCCCUAGCAGCUGGGAGUAGUACCAAUACUGGUGGCUGUGCGGCAGCGUUUCUGUUUACUGCAUGGGAGAUUUGAGUUCAAGUUCCAACUGGGGUGAUUUAGGGUGAGUGAGCUAACAAGGAGCAAAUCUUCUUGCAGUGGAAAGGGGCCAUUGUGUUUGCCCCCUUUCUCCCCCUCCAGGUACCUAGGCCAUAUAUUUCCUUGUCAUUUGACAUUUUGUAUUUUGUGCCUUUUUAUAUUUCACCAACCAGUAUUGUUUGCUCUGCUGUUUGUUUUAUAUUUUGUUAACCCUGUCUUUUGUCAAUGAUUGUAAGUGUCUAACCUUUGUUGAAUCCUGCCCCCUUGAGGCAUUGUAGUGUCCCCUAUACCCCCUGAUUUAUGCCUGUUAUGUUCCCAGUACUGUUCUUUCAUUAAAAGAUAUAUGGUUAAGUCCC